rnacentral:pre_miRNA from 1 species
CAAAAAAAAAACCCUGGGUUUCCGUGUCCAACGUUUGACCGUUCGUCUUAUUUAAAAAAAUUAUGAAAAAAAAUUAAAAAGACAAGUCACGUAUAAAGUAUUAAUCAUGUUUAUCAUCUAACAACAAUAAAAAUAGAAAUUAUAAAAAAAAUUCUUAUAAUACGGACAGUCAAACGUUAGACACGGAAACCCAGGGUUUGUCUUUUU